rnacentral:rRNA from 1 species
UGAGUAACACGUGGAUAACCUACCUAUAAGACUGGGAUAACUUCGGGAGACCGGAGCUAAUACCGGAUAAUAUAUUGAACCGCAUGGUUCAAUAGUGAAAGACGGUUUUGCUGUCACUUAUAGAUGGAUCCGCGCCGCAUUAGCUAGUUGGUAAGGUAACGGCUUACCAAGGCAACGAUGCGUAGCCGACCUGAGAGGGUGAUCGGCCACACUGGAACUGAGACACGGUCCAG